GGUGCCAUGGCCGCUGGAAUGGCAUAGGUGAGGCAUCACUGAAGUUGACGGUUCGAGUCCGUCUGGUACCG
rnacentral:tRNA from 1 species